rnacentral:rRNA from 1 species
UACAGAGGGUGCGAGCGUUAAUCGGAAUUACUGGGCGUAAAGCGUGCGUAGACGGUUAUUUAAGUCGGGUGUGAAAGCCCCGGGCUCAACCUGGGAAUUGCAUUCGAGACUGAAUAGCUAGGGUGCGGUAGAGGGAAGCGGAAUUUCCGGUGUAGCGGUGAAAUGCGUAGAUAUCAGGAGGAACACCGAUGGCGAAGGCAGAUCUCUGGGCCGUAACUGACGCUGAGGAGCGAAAGCAUGGGGAGCGAACAGG